rnacentral:rRNA from 1 species
AGAGUUUGAUCAUGGCUCAGAUUGAACGCUGGCGGCAGGCUUAACACAUGCAAGUCGAGCGGGGGAAGGUAGCUUGCUACUGGACCUAGCGGCGGACGGGUGAGUAAUGCUUAGGAAUCUGCCUAUUAGUGGGGGACAACAUCUCGAAAGGGAUGCUAAUACCGCAUACGUCCUACGGGAGAAAGCAGGGGAUCUUCGGACCUUGCGCUAAUAGAUGAGCCUAAGUCGGAUUAGCUAGUUGGUGGGGUAAAGGCCUACCAAGGCGACGAUCUGUAGCGGGUCUGAGAGGAUGAUCCGCCACACUGGGACUGAGACACGGCCCAGACUCCUACGGGAGGCAGCAGUGGGGAAUAUUGGACAAUGGGGGGAACCCUGAUCCAGCCAUGCCGCGUGUGUGAAGAAGGCCUUAUGGUUGUAAAGCACUUUAAGCGAGGAGGAGGCUACUUUAGUUAAUACCUAGAGAUAGUGGACGUUACUCGCAGAAUAAGCACCGGCUAACUCUGUGCCAGCAGCCGCGGUAAUACAGAGGGUGCGAGCGUUAAUCGGAUUUACUGGGCGUAAAGCGUGCGUAGGCGGCUUAUUAAGUCGGAUGUGAAAUCCCCGAGCUUAACUUGGGAAUUGCAUUCGAUACUGGUGAGCUAGAGUAUGGGAGAGGAUGGUAGAAUUCCAGGUGUAGCGGUGAAAUGCGUAGAGAUCUGGAGGAAUACCGAUGGCGAAGGCAGCCAUCUGGCCUAAUACUGACGCUGAGGUACGAAAGCAUGGGGAGCAAACAGGAUUAGAUACCCUGGUAGUCCAUGCCGUAAACGAUGUCUACUAGCCGUUGGGGCCUUUGAGGCUUUAGUGGCGCAGCUAACGCGAUAAGUAGACCGCCUGGGGAGUACGGUCGCAAGACUAAAACUCAAAUGAAUUGACGGGGGCCCGCACAAGCGGUGGAGCAUGUGGUUUAAUUCGAAGCAACG